rnacentral:SRP_RNA from 11 species
GGGCUCGGCGGCCGCGGAGAGUCCGCCCUCCUCGUUCCUCCACGCUCUCGAGCUGGGCGGCGACCACGCUCGCGGUCCCGCCUGCGCGUGCGGCGCCGACCACUCCGCGGCUGGCUUUACAGAGCAGCAGGAGCCCCCC